GCGCUACUAGUGUAGGGGUUAUCAUUCCAGCCUUCCAUACCCCUUGCACUCGUACCAGAGUGUGAGGUUACGUGAAAUCCAGCUGGAGAUCCAGGUUCGAGUCCUGGGUAGCGCA